UACGUAGGGUGCGAGCGUUGUCCGGAAUUACUGGGCGUAAAGAGCUCGUAGGUGGUUUGUCGCGUUGUUCGUGAAAACUCACAGCUCAACUGUGGGCGUGCGGGCGAUACGGGCAGACUGGAGUACUGCAGGGGAGACUGGAAUUCCUGGUGUAGCGGUGGAAUGCGCAGAUAUCAGGAGGAACACCGGUGGCGAAGGCGGGUCUCUGGGCAGUAACUGACGCUGGAGGAGCGAAAGCCAUGGGUAGCGAACAGG
rnacentral:rRNA from 1 species